CCUACGGGUGGCAGCAGUGAGGAAUAUUGGUCAAUGGACGAGAGUCUGAACCAGCCAAGUAGCGUGAAGGAUGACUGCCCUAUGGGUUGUAAACUUCUUUUAUAAAGGAAUAAAACGAGGCACGUGUGCCUUUUUGCAUGUACUUUAUGAAUAAGGAUCGGCUAACUCCGUGCCAGCAGCCGCGGUAAUACGGAGGAUCCGAGCGUUAUCCGGAUUUAUUGGGUUUAAAGGGAGCGUAGAUGGGUUGUUAAGUCAGUUGUGAAAGUUUGCGGCUCAACCGUAAAAUUGCAAUUGAUACUGGCAGUCGUGAGUACAGUUGAGGUAAGCGGAAGUCGUGGUGUAGCGGUGAAAUGCUUAGAUAUCACGAAGAACCCCGAUUGCGAAGGCAGCUUACUAAACUGUGACUGACAUUGAUGCUCGAAAGUGUGGGUAUCAAACAGGAUUAGAUACCCGUGUAGUC
rnacentral:rRNA from 1 species